rnacentral:tRNA from 1 species
GGGAAUGUGGCUCAGUGGCAGAGUGCUUGCCUAACAUGCAUGAAGCCCAGGGUUCGAUUCCCCAGUACCA